GAUGAACGCUGGCGGCGUGCCUAACACAUGCAAGUCGAGCGCGAUUAAGUGGAGUGAGAACUUCGGUUCAAGUGAAGCUUAUGAAAGCGGCGGACGGGUGAGUAACGCGUGGGUAACCUGCCCCAUACAAAGGGAUAGCCACUGGAAACGGUGAUUAAUACCUUAUAAGUCGGUAGUCUCGCAUGAGACAGCCGACAAAGAUUUAUCGGUAUGGGAUGGACCCGCGUCUGAUUAGCUAGUUGGUGGGGUAACGGCUCACCAAGGCGACGAUCAGUAGCCGACCUGAGAGGGUGAUCGGCCACACUGGAACUGAGACACGGUCCAGACUCCUACGGGAGGCAGCAGUGGGGAAUAUUGCACAAUGGGCGCAAGCCUGAUGCAGCAACGCCGCGUGAGUGAUGAAGGCUUUCGGGUCGUAAAACUCUGUCCUAUGGGAAGAAAAAAUAGACGGUACCAUAGGAGGAAGCCCCGGCUAACUACGUAGCCAGCAGCCGACGG
rnacentral:rRNA from 1 species